UGGGGAAUAUUGCACAAUGGGGGAAACCCUGAUGCAGCGACGCCGCGUGAACGAAGAAGGUACUCGUAUCGUAAAGUUCUGUCCUAUGGGAAGAUAAUGACAGUACCAUAGAAGAAAGCUCCGGCUAAAUACGUGCCAGCAGCCGCGGUAAUACGUAUGGAGCGAGCGUUGUCCGGAAUUAUUGGGCGUAAAGGGUACGCAGGCGGUUUAAUAAGUCGAAUGUUAAAGAUCGGGGCUCAACCCCGCAAAGCAUUGGAAACUGAUAAACUUGAGUAGUGGAGAGGAAAGUGGAAUUCCUAGUGUAGUGGUGAAAUACGUAGAUAUUAGGAGGAAUACCAGUAGCGAAGGCGACUUUCUGGACACAAACUGACGCUGAGGUACGAAAGCGUGGGGAGCAAACAGG
rnacentral:rRNA from 1 species